UCCAAAGAUUCAACAUUCAGUUAACACCAACCAUUCUGACUACAGCACAACCAGGUUGCAGUCUUGAACGACCAUAACACUAACCAGUUCAGAACCAAAUUAUCAUUCCCGCAUUUUCACUGGUAGCAGAGCAGCAGCACUUGCUUCAGUUUUUGAAGCUGCCAUGAUCCCUUUCGUCCCAUCGUCAGAUGGUGCCAUCCUCACCAGCUCCAAGGAUAGUGCUAGAAAAGGAAGACAACGUCACAUUUUUAAUCAACCCAAUGCAAAAACAGAAAACGAAAAUAAGCAAGAACAUUACACGCAAUUGAGAAUUUCUCCAUCAGUAUAAAAGAAAACUAGAAUAGGCAAUACACCAAGAGGAGCAUUAGAGUGAAGUACCUUCCAUCAAAAGACACUGCAGUCUGCCUUAUUGGUGAUCUGCAUUGCUGAUUAUAUAGCCUGAAAAUGAUACAGUAUUUGCAUCCAGAAGCAUAAGAGUUACUAAUACGCAGCACCAAUAAAAGUGGAGGACAAGAAUAACUGAAAUUCUUGCAUUAAAAAUUACCGGGGCAAUUAGGACAGGAGGGCUGGACUGUACUUCCCACACAUAGAUUUUGCCUUCACGAUUUCCUGUUUGAAGCGGAGGACGAUUAAUCAGCAAACGUUUCUAUGAAAAUCCAGUCAUAUAUUUUAAGUGUGAACAUUUUGCCGUGCCAAAACCUCUUUAUAACUUCUGGUGCGUGAAAUUUACAAAUCAAUAACUUAAAUAUAACUUUUAUGUCAGAAAACAGCCCAGAUGAUAGAUAUUACUUAUUGCCAACUGAUUGAAGUGAAAAUCGCACGAAAAUUUUAUAAACCAGAUGUCACACUCUGGCACAGGGUACUUCUGAAGAAUAUCGAUGCUUCCCUAUAUGAGGAAAGAGAAAGUCAUAUUACUUCAGAGGAAUGGGCAGUCAAUGACUAGAAAUCAAAGAAACCGCUGGAAGUUAAAUUUAAGAAAAGUUCAAUUCGAGAAAAGUUCAAUUCAAGAAAAGUUAAAUUGUAUCACCUCCCCAGGACUUUGUUCUUUUGUUUUUGGUUCCCAAAGGACAAUUUCAUUAUCAACACUCUGCAAAUCCAAGCUAGCAUAGAUCAGAUCCCUCAUUAUACAGGAACCAAAACUGGCACUGGGAAAAAAAGGUUGAAAGACUGAACCCAUGCACAGUACAAGAAUACAGGAUCCAGAUACAGUGGUAUUUUGAAGCAUCAAAAGAAUGACGACUGUACUACUACUAUAGCAGCAAUUUGUAUCCAUUUAAGGGAAGGAAUUUCACCUUUGACAGGAUGAAGUCACCAAGCCAUCUUGUACAAUCAACAUAGUUAGAGUGUACUGAAGCAAUCAACACCUGCAAGGAAAGAAACAGGUUGGUUUGAUGGCAUGAGGAUUAAACACCAACAGUAGUUUGCAAAGGAAUAGAUCUAAGAUGAUUAUAGAUGCUAAACAUACCGGAAACUGGACAUAUUUUGUUGGAAACUUUGAUGGAAGGUCAGUCCAGGAAUAUGAUUUGUCAACAUAUUGCCAAAAUUCUGUGACAACAUUGGGAAACUCUAUCAAUGAUAUGCAGCAUGCAAAUGUAAACAUGAUGCUACUUUGAAGUAGUUUUCCAACCUUUCAUUGACCAGAUUUUCACAGUGUUGUCCAUGCCACAACUUGCAAAACGCUCAAUAUCACUAGGGUGGAAGUCCUUCAGCCAAAAUAAUGUAUUUUGAUCAGUACAUUUAUGCCUAACGUAAUGGAAGUACAAAAGCCGUAGUAGUCGCCAGAACUAUAUUUAUCCCUGAUGUAAUGCUCAAUAACAAACAGUAACAUCAGAAGCUGAAAGAGUGGUAGCUUGAGGGCACUUUGAGCAAGUAAUAUUCUGAAACAAUACCAUAAGAGGAGGCAGGAGCUACUUACAACACUCAACACUUCAUUGCGAUGACCUCCAGCUCCGGCAAAUACCAAGAUGCAGAUCCCUGUAUGGAAUCCAUAGCCUAACAGAUUCAUCCUAUUCAAUAAUGAAUAAUGCCAUAUGAAACAGUGUCAGAACAAUUAUAACAAAGUACAUUCAGCCUAAGAACAGGUUAUCUGCUAACCUUGCUUGCAGAAAUGAUGAGCGAAGGCUACGCUUGAGUCCUUAUCUCAUUUAUUGAGUCACCAUGGACAACAAAGCUCUGUAGAAUUCCAUAAACAGAAAUAACAAAUAAACACGUGCACAGUCUAAUUCAUAGGAUAGGAUAGUAUUUAUUGGCAUGCCCAGUCUCCUGACUAUAUGUAUAACGCCAAAAUAGAUACACUAGGUUGAACGUGUCUUGACUAUAACGGACAUGCUGAAGUAUCCAAAAACCAGAAUCUUCUGUGAGCAAAAGUUACAGUUUGCUAGUGGUAUUAAUGCAUAGCAAACAGACAAUUCCUUAAUCAAACCAAAUUCAAAUGACCUUCUGGAUCGGAUAUCAUAGAUGGUAUCUGUCAGGUAAGCAACUGAUGUACAGAUUUAUGCAAAUGAAGCUUCAUUCAAGUUUGACGUAGGAACAAAGACAAGGCUAGGGGUACUAUACCUUAGCUAACUUCUCCGUAGCGCAGUUGAUGACCCGAAUGAUCCCAUUGCUUCCUGCUGCUCAAUGACUCCAUUCUUGGUGACCAGUGUGGCAUCCAAUGUAUCAAUCAGCUCUUCCUUCUUCUUGAGCAAGGCGUUCUUCUCCUCUAUCACUCUGUCCCUAGCCUUCAGUGCCUCCUCCAUCCAAACAACUCUCACCUCCAGCGUGGCAAUCCUCAGCGAGUCCCUCUCGUCGUAGGUGUCCGGUGCAGUGUCCACCUCGUGUUGUAGGCGACGGUUCGUCUGGUCCAGGUCAGUCAAAUAGUGCUCAAGUCCCAUUAUCUUGCCCUGAAGUAUGGCAUUGGUACCGAUGCAGUUGUCCCAACCAUUGUGAAGUACCUCCACCUCUCUGUCAUUCCAGAACAGCGCUAAGUCCUGAGCGUGAAUACAGCGGGAGGCCACGCAAAACUUCUCGUUGGGCUCUGCAUAUGUGUCCUCGUAGUACUGAUGGGCUAAACUCUCGAAAUCCCUCGGCCCACGGCAAGCCCUGGUUAGGCAACGGUAGGGAGUCUGAGCCAACCUGUCACGGAGCUGCGCAUGCACCUCACACACAGCCCUUCUGGCGGCAGUCCGGUGAGCCUUUGACACUGACAGCUCAAACCCAAGUAGAAGAAUAAGCAAAGUCUAGUCAGAAAUAGCGGUAGUCAACAGCACUGUCCAUAACUAGUGGACACGGAUUAUAGCUACAACUUUAUACACUCUAUAGAGGAUGUACAGCUGUACCUGCACGGAUGGAGUCUAAAUGGUGGCGAUCUGUUGAAACCCCACCGAACAGCCAGAGCCCUAGUAGGUGGAUAGCUAUCUCAUAUUUCGACGAGUCUGGAAUCAUCCGCAGCUGCAGGGCACACCGUCACCAGUAAGGACCUCGAAGCUAUGAAACCUACCCACGCCAGGGUGUAGUCUGGUCAGAGCAAGCCAACGCCUUAAACUCAUUACAUGAUCCUCCAAUCCGCCUAGAGGCUGAGCACUAUCCACCACUAGUCUCGGACCGAACCCUGCCCAUAACGUAAGCGAGCGGUAUGUAAGUAAAAUAGCUGUUGUGACUAGUGGUAAACUGACUUGGUGCUUAAGCGGUUGAGAGCGAGCACUCUACUCCACAAGUAUAUGCCGAAACACAUGCAACAUACAAGUACGCCACCUGCUCCUCAGUAACAAACAAGGUACCUGCCACAAGUACGGGGUAUAGAGAGAGUCCAGAAUGCUCUCUCCUAGCAAGGCACUCCUUAGUACUAACCAUGGCGCUCCCGCCAAAACAUAUCAAGGAGUCACACUCACCCAAAACUCAAGCGAGAGUGUUCAAUGAAUCCUAUCACCAAAAUCAUAGCAUAUGCUCAUCCAUAACUCAAAAGCAUGUAUAUGGAUAUAUGAGCGGUGGACUAGCUAGGGGUCUAUAGCUAGUCCACAAAAGUAGGUAACAAGGAAAACAUGAUACAAAAUUAUCAAGGCAUGGCUUAAAACAUUGGCUAUGCAAUUCAACAUCAUCAAGCAUCAUAAAUAAAGCACUAGCAACUAAGCAUGCAUAUAAUCUAUGUGAUUGGGAGUGACAUGGCACCUUGUUCGUAGUUGUUUGGAUCUUCCUCAGCAUAGUCGGAGUCUUGAGGGUCUUCCGGGUCAUAGCUCGGGUCUGAACAGACCGAGAUAUGAUAUAAAAUAAAUUAAACGGCAUUACAACUAGAAAAAAACUCCAAGAAAGCUAAAUUUAGCAGAUCCAAAUAACACCAAACUAGUUACAAACAACACGGGCUCCAUUUUACGAAUUUAAUGCAACUGGUUCCAUAUUUUUCGCAGUUAAAAUGAAUUAGUUAUGAAUUUUUAAAGAUUAAAGGAUUUAUUUAAUUAUUUAAAUAAUUUUAGAAAAUAUUUAUUAUUACGGUGACACAUGUCAGUGCCUGGUUGUGCCAUGUGGGAGCAUAAGAGUGCGCCACGUGUCUCCUAACGCCAAGCUGACGUCAGCGUUGACCGGUCAACUAGGCCCCACCAGUGGGUCCGUGCCUCGGACAUGUCAACGUCGCGUGGCUCCACGUGGCAGCCACGUGGCCAUCUAGUCUACGUGGCACUGCCACAUGGCGCACACGUGGUCGUCCCCAGCUGGCCGGGAUCCGCGCGCCACCCGGAUCCCGUCCGCCACCCACGUGUAGCCACGGGUGUGGCGCAGGCCUGAUUGGCGGCAACGCAGCGGUGAUCGUGCCCACGACAUCAUGGUGUGGCACGACGUCACGGCGCGGCUGCUGCACGUGUGCGCGGGCAGGAGGCAGUCCCCGGCUGCGGCACGACCGCGGCGGUGUGCGGGGUCCCAGGCCCGCGGUGGCUGGCAGCGAGGCAAGCGGCGGCACUACUACCGUGGCUUGAAGGCUGGGCAUACGACAAGCAAACAAGAGGAAAGAGAGGGGCAGCGAGGUUCACUGCAGGGAGACGGCGAAAGCGGGUGGCGUCGGGUGGUGGUCGACAGCUCAGGCUCCUCCCUUAGAUGGCCCCUCUUCUUCUUCUUCUCUUCUACUUCCCCUCCUCCUUCUCUUUCCUCCUCUUCUCCUACUCCUCCCUCCUCCUCUACUCCUUCCCCAUUCUCUCACUCAGGUGGUUGAUGGCGCAAGGGCGAAGCCCCGAGUGGAUGGCGAGGAGAGGCCCCGGGCGGCUCUACUUAUAGCGGAGAGGCGGCUAGGGUCCCGGAGGGAGGUUGCGGUGGCACUUUAGGGUUUGGGGGCAUGGCGUUGGUGAUGUGGAUGGCUGGGAUGUGGUGUCGCAUGGUGCGGGCGACGUGGUGGCCGUACGAGGCCGCCAGCGCAAAAGCAAGGGCACGGGCGAGGUCACGGGUGCGCACGCGAGGCACGCGUGAGCGGUACGGCCGGAGGAAGAAGGAAGAGGACCAGGGGCACCUGACGGGCAGGUCCGGUGCGGCAGCGAGAGAGAAAGAGAGGGAGAGCGGGGCAUGGGUGGCAACUGCGGGCUGGGCCAGCUGGCCGGUUAGGAGGCUUGCUGGGCUGGUCACUGAGCUGCGCGGGCGAGGUGGCAGAGCAGGCCAGGCCGGCUGUCUGGCUAGGCCGGGGCGAAGGUAGGUGAGGGUGAGGCGCGAGCGGGCCAAGCCGGUGGGCUGCGGCUAGCCUGGUUGGUUAGGAGGGUUAGAUAGGUUUUGUUUUUAUUUAGAUUUAGAUUUAGUUUGAGUUUUGAAUCAGAUUCAAAAUUCAAACACACACUCAAACAUGAGAUCCAAAUAAAAUCUAAAAAGAUCCAAAUCGUUCCACACAAGUUUUGAAAUGGAAUUUUGGGACGAGAAGAGAAUUUGACUACCAUUUUCAAACGAGCACACAAUUCAAACAAAAGUUUUAAAUUUUUGGAAAUUUCACUUAAAUAAAUAUUACAAAAUUCUAGAAUAUUACAAACAUAACCGCUUCAGCUCGUACCCUGAGAAAAGCGAUACGAAGCUUAACACUCCUCAACAUCUGGGAAAUUUGGUCAGAACGAAACUCUAGAUUUUUCGGACUGUGUGAGUCAUCCUUGAUUUCCUUGGUGGCAAAAUUAAAAAGGAAGCUUAAGUUUUGUAGGUCUUUUGAAUUAAACCAACUUGGUAAGCUAUCACCCCAAAAGCCAUGGGCAUUCAAUUCUCUCAUUAGAGCACAAGCCAUCGAUCACUUCAUUCUUUCGAAAACUCUGGGAUUAGUUCGCCAGUUCAGCUCUAUUUCCAUGAGGUAUUUCUUGUCAACGAGUCUAGCCUCAGCAGCCUGUUCCUUGCUCCUCACAGUAUGGAUAGAUUUGAUGCAUAGCAUUCCGCUAAGCUGAUUCAUGCCCUUCAGCUCACCAAUUGCCCCCCUCCGUGCUUCAACUGUGAAAUAUCUCAAGUUCCUUUGAUAAGUCAAUAGAGGCUUUUACUGGAAGUGCUAGUUGACGCAAGUUGAUUAGCUUUGUUACAUCCUGACGAAUUGUUCUCAGACAUGAACCAAAUGCAACAACAACUUGUAGGCUGUUAAGGCACCAGAAUUUCGAUGGCACUUCAUUUAUAUUGCUGUAGGAUAUAUCAAGAUAUCGGAGGCUAUUCAACCCACAUAUGCUUUGGGGUAGACUUUUCAGCUUGCAACCUUUUAGGCUCAAAAACAGGAUGUUAGAAAGCUGACUGAACCAGGUGAUCUCAACAUCCAAUUUGGUACCAAGCCUAAGUGAACGCAAUUUGUUCAAAUUUUGAAUGUUUGUCAUUGUGCUCAAGGACUUACCAUCCACCUCGACUGACAUGUGGCGAGGUUUAUUUGUCAUUCCGCUCAAAUCUUUCAUCGAGAAACAUUCAUGGAUAGUAACAUACUGCGCAGUAUCAUGGAUCAGGUCAUGCAUUACGUAUUUAUCUUGAUUAGGGAACUUUGGAUCAGUUUGGAAAAGACACCUGCCUCUCAAAUCAUCCAAAUAGUUCAUCCCGACAUCUUCAAGACGCUUGCUCACUUGUGGUGAAACAAAGCCCUCUGCCACCCAAAUGUCAACGAUCUCAUGUCUUUUGAAGCUAUAAUCUUUCGGAAAUAUAUAUGGAGCAAAAUGCAAAGCAUCUCCUAAGUUCAGUUGGGAGGUACAAGUAGCUCAGUCGAAGUGCUGGUAAUAUCUCGCCAUCUUUUUGUUCUUGCUCCCAUAAUUCACUGUCCUUGAUAGUCCUCCAAUGUUGCUCAGUCAGAUUACUAUUCAACAAGCGUCCGAGAGUUUUGGCAGCCAAAGGAGUACCAUGCAACUUAGAGGAAAUGCUCUGACUCUGGGCACUCUUUACCAAACGCACAUUUCUCGAAAAAUUCCCAAAAUACACCAGCGGGCAAUCCUUCGAGCUGGACAGGCUUACAACUGCAUCUGGACCAUGCGGUGACAUUCUGAGCAAUGUUUUUGGGUCUUGUAGUCACUAAGAUCAUGCUACCUUCAAGUCCAUUCUUCAACGGUGCAUAUAAAAAGACUCCCAUUGUGGUAAUCUCCCAAAUAUCAUCCAGCACCAAAAGGAACUUUUGGAUCUUCAGCAUAUGCUACAGAUUUGCUUCAAGAACACCUAAACCACAAGACAAGUCGAAGUUUGGCUGGAUGGUCUUGAUGAUCUCCUUUUUCAUCCUUUCAAUGUCAAACAGGUCCGAAACACAGACCCGUAUCCUUACAGUAAUAAAGUGGCCUUUCACUCUUUCAUCACUGUAGAUGAACUGAGCCAGGGUGGUCUUCCCCAUCACGCCAAUGCCAAAAAUUGGCAAGACAGAAACAUUGCCACAGUUAGCAGUCUCAGCAAGCACUGCACUGCUGUAAGAGAUGGGCCUCCACCAUGCCCCACUCGCUGCGACUGAUGAGCAAGCGAGCUGUGAGCAGCUUGGUCUUGAGUUGGUCCAGCUCGUUUUCCAGCUGGGUCGGCGCUUGGCUCAUGCUCAUCCCGAAUAACAGGAUGCCUUGCACGGUGUCCAUGGUCGCGCGCGCUCCUAGAUCUUGGUGCGUUGGUGGAGCUCCUCCUCCUCCUCCUCCUGCUUGGCACUCGAUCAAGCAGGGCAGGGGCAGAAGCGAGCGAUUACCUGAUGAUGGUGCCACCGAUUACUGGCCUUCGCCCUCCCACCGCCGGACUGGUGAUUUUCACCGGAGGGAUCGUAAGAGAGAUCGGGCAGAGAGGUGGAGGAUCAAAUUGCGUGUGCACCCAACGUGGAAUGGCGCUGGAUAUAUCUAGCUAGAUGGUUGCAUGCCCUGCCGAUCUGGGCAAUCGGUAUUGCAUUUGCAGAUUUGCUUCGGUUUCAUCGAUGAAACGGGAAGACAGUGAGAGCACCGAAUGAAGAUGACACGAGUUCGGCGUUGGUUUCUUCGAUCGGUCCUGUCUUGGGUUCCAUCGAACUUGAUCGAGCUGUCUUGAGGCCGGCGGAGUAACUAAGAGAUCCAUUAUUCAUCGGGAUAAGCUAGGAUCGCAUGGGCUCGUUGCGGCUGCGGGCGCGGACCACCAUCUCUUCCUGCCCGCCGCCGGCGGCCGACGAGUGCAAGACUGGUAGGUUUAGGAGAGGAAAGGUCAAAAGGCGUGAGCUGUGAAGGAAUGGACCUGGCAUCUGGGUGCGGCUUGUGUUGUAUCUUGAGCCGGUUGGGCCGGGGUGGCGACUGAGUCCAGUAGUAGUGAAUUUUUUUAUUUUUUAUUUUGGUAUUUUGUAAAAAUAUAUAGUCGGAUGAAAAAAUUGUAAAAUUAGGCUAUUGUCACUGGCUGGACCGACGGUAAGGCGCUUCCGCCGGCCCAACCGCCCCCUGGGCCGGCGGAAGGGCCUUACCGCCGGCCCAGCCGGCGGCGGUACACCCCUCCAUACCACAUUUUCAAAAAAUCAUAACUAAUUCAUAUCAGCUCGGAUGGAGAUAAAAUUUAUAUAAAACUUGUAGAUCUCGAUGAGAUCUACAACUUUGUAGUUAAAAUAUUUUUCAUUUGAUGUCAUAUUGGUGCUCAAAUAAUCGACACAAGUUUCAGAUCUAAAAUUCAAUUUUUAGAUGUGAAAUUGGGCAGCACACUUUCCGCCCAGCUGGCGACCUAGCCUUACCGCCGGCAGCCGGCGACCUAGCCUUACCGCCGGCAGCCGGUGACAAUAGCCUAGUUUUGCAAUUUUUUCAUCAGACUAUUUUUGCAAAAUGUUAAAAUAAAAAAAUAAAAAAAGUCCAGCACUAGUCCACCAAAUGAGACAAGUUCCGGACCUACUCGGUGGUGGUUUUGUUGGCUGCAAACUGAUGGGCCUCGUGCCUUUGACUGCGAAGAAGACGGCGACGCAAAAGCAUUUUUUUCCCAGCAGCUUUGAAACGGUCGCCCGCGGACAGCAAGCAAGCGAUCGCGAGCCUGACCGCUGAACUGUAACAGGGAUCCAUGCUUUCCGGCAACACCCAUCGGUGCCAGGCUUACCCACCAGUACACCUGGCACCUGCUGACUGUCCAUCUCCAAACCUCCAUCACAAGACAGAGGUCGUCAAUGGCUUCUUCGGUUUGCAACAGCACAGUGGACAAGAAAAGCAGGGGCAAAGCUACAUUGGGCUAGCUAGGAGGCCUGCUAGGCUGGUCGCUGGGCUGCGCAGGCGAGGCGGCGGAGCAGGCCAGGCCGGCUGUCUGGCUGGGCCGGGGCGGAGGCGAUGAGGGUGAGGCGUGAGCGGGCCAAGCCACUGGGCUGCGGCCGCCCUUGUUGGUUAGAGGGUUAGAUAGGUUUUGUUUUUAUUUAGAUUUAGAUUUAGAUUUAGAUUUAGUUUGAAUUUUGAAUCAGAUUCAAAAAUUUUGGAAUAUUACAAACAUAAAAUCCAAAUAUAAGAUCAAAUAUGAGAUCAAAAUCAGAUUCAAAAUUCAAACACACACUCAAAUAUGAGAUCCAAAUAAAAUCCAAAAGAUCCAAGUCAUUCCAUGCAAGUUUUGAAAUGGAAUUUUGGGAUGAGAAGAGAAUUUGACUACCAUUUUCAAACAAGCACACAGUUCAACCAAAAGUUUUAAAUUUUUAAAAAUUUCACUCAAAUAAAUAUUACAAAAUUUUGGAAUAUUACAAACAUAACCACUUCACCUCGUACCCUGAGAAAAGCGAUACGAGCUUAGCACUCCUCAACAUCUGGGAAAUUUGGUUAGAACGAAACUCUAGAUUUUUCGGACUGUGUGAGUCCUCCUCGAUUUCCUUGAUGGCAAAAAUUAAAAAGGAAGCGGCUGCUUGGGUGGGGGCAGGGGCCAAAAACCUAAUGGAACUUUUAGCGCAGUAAUUUUUUUUUGUUACUCUUUAGCUAUUAGCCUAACUCUUCUUCUUUAUCAAUAAAAUAGGCAUAAUCUUAUACCCAUUGGUUUUUUCUAACAAUAUUUUCCAUGGAUGGAAACAUUAACGUAAGAAGAUAUACAAGUAACAACCUAUUUGAGACUUCAGUAGUGUUCAUACUAUACCAUACUAGUAGUAACAGUAGCAUUAAGCAGCCAGCUUACAUUGAACAACAGAGCACAAUACUUGUGUCAGUAUAAAAAAAGACUUGUGUAAAGCCAGCUACACAAGUUAGCUCGCAUUUCAUAAUUAAGUUUCAGAUUUCGUGCAAGGCCAGAUACUUUAGCACUGCGCUCUUGAUGUACCGAAAGGAAGAUUAACAUAUAAGUACAAUACCGAAGUAAUGACUAUGGAAAUAGGCUUAGAAAUACAACUGGAAGCUAGGUACAGUGCAAUAAACCUUAGUGCCUCAUCAUAGCUCCCUUAGCUUCCAGGAAAGUAUAAUGCUGUAUUUGCAGAGAAAAAAAAUAUCACCUUCUAGUGGUGAUCAAGUACGCGAGACUCUUGCAGUUGCAAUAGAAACGUCUGCCAAACCGGUCCCAUUUGACCACAAUAGCAGCUGCAAAGCCAACGCCGAAGCCAAGCCCAACGAAGAGAAACAAAACCACAUCAAUAUGACGAGAAGACUUGUCCCCAUGUGCCACACCUGGAGAGUGAGGUGAACUACCACAAGGAAAUUUUGGCAAUUGCAGCCCACACAAUCCAGCAUUCCCUUCAAAUGAGCUGCUGUCAAAUGUAGAGAACUGACGUGACUGCGGUAUCUUCCCCACCAAGUGAUUGUAUGACAAGUUUAGGGAGCCAAGAAAGGUGAGAUCAGUUAGCUCUUGUGGAAUGUCCCCUGAGAGUUGGUUGCAGGACAGGUCUAGUGACUCCAAAUCAGUCAUGCUUCCAAGUUGGGCUGGAAUUUUUCCAGUGAAGGCAUUGUGUGACAGACUCAGUACGCGUAGUGAUACAAGGCUUCCAAAUGUUUCAGGAAUAGUACCCUCCAAACUAUUUUUUGAGAAGUCAAUUGCUGUUACGGUAGUCAGCAUCCUUCCAAAUGGCAUAUCUGCCCCCUUGUACAUGAUCUCAACAGAAUAUUGAUAUGAAUGUUCUCUGUCAUUGACAUUUAUAGUGUUUAGAAUUUCGAGAGUUUUCCCAGAACUAUUAAACUCUGCCAUCAUUGACUUUAACUGCUUGAACCAUUGUGGCCUCAAAGUACCAGAGAAAUUGUUUGAGGCAAGAUCGAUAAUUUGCAAGCUAGGGAAACAUUCCUCACGUUUUGUGUCCCCAACAAUAUCACCUAUGGUGCCAUACAUUUGGUUUGAUCUCAGGACGAGUACAGAAAGCUUGGGAAGCCCCCUCAACCAAGAAGGAAAAGCAUCAGCUAUUUUGUUGCUUCCAAAGUCUAUAACCUCCAAGUCUGUACAGUUAGAAAGGCCCCUAGGAAGCCUCCCUUCGAUCUUAUUGCCAUGUAAAUCUAUCAUCUGUAAAGCACAUCUUGUUGUUAUAUUGGAAGGCAGCAUCCCUUUCAAGCGAUUCUCCCUCAAAUUUAAAACACCGCUGGGGAUAUUUUCUAUAAAACAAGGUGGAAUCGGGCCAUUAAAGUAGUUAUAUGAUAGAUCAAGGACAUCCAGGUAUAUUAUUUUUGGAUAUGCUGAGAUAAACGGUGUCCCGAAGAUAGGAGGUCCAGUUUGGCAGAAGGGAAGAGAACAUGUUGUUGGAAUAAUCCAAGACAUCUCCUGAUAAUUUUGGCAUAGGGAUCAUCCCUGAAAGUCUAUUGAAACUAAGAUCAAGCACUCCGAUUGAUGUAUUGAAAGGGACAACAUCCGAAUUAAGUUGCAUGCCCGUGAACAUGUUAUGUGAAAGAUUCAAAUGAGAUUGCACAACAUUCCAUGUCUUCUCCCAGAUCCAAUUUGGUAUAUCCCCACUGAUUUUAUUACAUGAAAGAUCCAAAUACGUUAUACAGUCAACAUGCCUCAAAAAUCUUGGAAAUUGAGUUAUCUUGCAAGAUGCGAGCCCUAAUUCACCUAGUCCAGCCAAAUAGCUGGUUUCCACUGGAUUAUUAUCUUCUGAGGCCAUGACAUGCAACUUAUUGUAGGAAAGAUGCAAAACAGUGAGGUAAGUUAAUCUCCGAAAAUGUGCAAGGUCCACGGAACCUAUCAAGUUGUUUGAGCUAACAUCUAUACAUACUAAACUUGUUAGUUGAAAGAUGGCUUUGGGAAUAAAACCUGACAAUUCAUUGUUCUCGAACCUCACGGUCUCCAACUGUGGACCUGCCUUGUCAAAGCCUUGUAUAGGGCCAGAAAGCUGGUUGAAAGAGAGAUCAAGGUGAUUUAAUAUAGGAAGACUGAAAAUGGAUGGUGGAAUCUCCCCUGGAAGAACAAUAGAAAACAUUAGGUUAGAAAGUGUUUCCCCUUCUACAAAUUAAAAUCAGAAGAUGCUACCUCCUAUUUUGUUCAGAACAUGAAUACUUGACCCUUUCUCGAGAAAAGUAAAAGUUGAUAUCGUACCAUAGAAAUAUAUAUCCCAAGUUUAUUUAUUUUAUUUUGAGAAAAUUGCAUUACUAGUCUCUAAAUAAAUGGCCAAAAGUUGUGUGGUAACCUCGCCGACCCUUGCACUUGUUGCAAAUUACUUUCCCCAACCCCCUCGUCUUUGUUGUGCCACGUGUUAGGCAAUGGUUUGAUGCUGGUUCAACACAUUAAUUUGCUAAUAGUGGGGUGGGUGAGAUUAGUGUGCAAGUUUAAGGACUACCGGAAGAAUUUAGUGCACCUACGGACCAUAGAAUUUCAUAAUCCUAGGACCCAUGAAGCUGAAAUGAUCCGGACCCAUCAUGGAUCAUAAAAUGUAUUAUGAUUUAUGAUACCCGGUGUAUAGUCCUGUACCAUCAUAAAGAAUUGGUAAGAUCACUUAUAUAGGAUCCCGAUCCAAACAUAAACAUUUGUUAAUAUCUGAAAUUAAGUAAAUCCAUGAGUAAUUAUAUAAUGAGUAAUUAUAUAAGUUUCUUCAGUUUAAUUCGACAUCUUUUACUCUUUGCAUGACAUCUGACCAUUAAAUUGUUUUAAAUUAUGAUAAUGUUUGGAGUUAAGUUGAAAUGUCGAAUUGACAUUGACAUGAAUAAGUGGACUCGAGUUUAUAAGAAUUAAUAAAUUUAUAAAAAUAGCAUUGUAGAUUUCUUUUCAAGAACUUGUUUAACUUUUUAAUAUAUGCAUUUUUUACUCAUUACGCUGCAAAAUCCUCCCCCAAAGUUCUUGACACAGUGUCAAACUCAUUUGUUGUGUUUAACCUCUUACAAUGAUCUAUAUAAGCUGCCAGCUUUUGUAUAAGAGGGCCGGGGUUAGAGAAGUAUAUCGUGUCAACUGCGCCAAAGAAAUUCUUUUAGAGUAAACUAGAGCAAAUGAAAAGCUUUAUGAGCCCUAAUACCCAUUUAAGAUUUCCAUUGUCCUUUCUACCCUGUCAAAUGAACACUCAAGCUCAUAUAGAAGCAACAUGUGUGGUUGUUGCAUCAAGAAGGAACCUUAAGGGAGGAUUUUGCAAUGGGGUUAGGCUUGUGGGUUCGUUAGGCCCUUCACACAACGUGUGCUUGGAGUAUCGCUUGAAAUGGAGAGAGGAGGUUUGGGCAUUGAUCACUCCCCAAGUGGCCAAGUUGAAACCAGGAGCAGCACUGUGACAGAACAAAACAAAUGCCAACUUUUCUCACAUGGGCCUCGACUUUUUUUCCUAGAGUCACUCCACAUAGUAGAGGCCUUAAUGCAACUAUUUUUCUUUUAGGGGAUAAUUGCAACUCAAGAUGACUACUAGGAGCUUGAGCCAUGCACACAUGCGUUAGUGGCAAGCUUGCAACUACUCUGAGCAGAGGAGGGCACAGUUGCAGCUUGCAAGGCCCACGGUGUGGAGUAGUGACGCUUAGGGAUGCAAACAGGUUAGAAGGGCUGGAUCAUGUUGGCAACUCGUGGUGUGGAGUAGUGACGCUUAGGGAUGCAAACGGGUUAGAAGGGCUGGAUCAUGUUGGCAACUGUGGAAUAGACUAUAAGUGGGUUCGCAGGCUAGCCCACUUGAUUUGCAGCAAUAUAUUAUGGUGGAGGGAUGUCCUUGACCUGUUACAUGCCUUUACAAACUAAGGUCAUGUUAGCAUAUCCUUACUCCCCAAUCCAACUACCGUAUUGGGAGGGUUAAUGAAAAAUAGUAUUCCAACAAACCAAUAAUCCACCCUAACUUAUCCUUAAAAAAGAGUAUCUCAAUACGGUAGUUUGGAUUGUGAUUAUUGGGGAACUGCAAAAACAACUUUUCCAUUAACCAUAAAAGAAAUAUUGGGACAUUUCCAUUAGCUUAUUAGAAAAAAUUGAUUGGGAAACUGCUGAAGAUGCUCUAAGAGAUCCUCAAGUUGGCGUGUGACUGCACACGUGGUGGGGGCAGCACAAGCAGCCCAAUAUGACCUAAUUUUAGCCCAAGUUAGGUUUAGUUGUGGCCCAACUAACGUCCAUGUUCUAUUUUUUUCCUUUCUUCAUUCUCUUUGGUUUUACAUUUUCUUGUCAUUUUCUUUAAUUAUUUCCUUUUAUAUUAUUUUGCAUAUUAUUUUAUUUCCUUUAUAUUUAUUAUUCGUUUCUAUUUUUGUUUUGUUUUCUUUUCUGUUUUCUUUUUCUACUAGGAAAUUCUAACUUUUCAUUUCUUUUAUUGUUUCCAUUUUUAUUAUCUUUUAUGCUUCUUUUCUUUUUUAUUUUCAGUAAUAAAUUUUUGUAUAUUUUGUUUGCUAGUAAGAAUAAUUUAUUCAAUUAGUUUUCAUUAUUGUUUCACUUGGCACUACUUUAAAAAUCAUUUGUGCAUGCGAUCAUUCUAUUUUUUUUACAGCGGUGCUUAAUAACAACCGUCUCUAGCAAGGGUUCCAAAAAUACAAGUAUUUACAGAGGUGGGCCACAUAAUUUAGUAACUAUCUGAAAAUCAAUUUCGAAAGGCAGACCACCUAAGCUACCACUACUAGAAAUUGACUUCUAGAGGCAAGCCUAAUAAGCAAUUGCCUCUAAAAAUAAUAGUCUUUUUUAAAUGAAGAAGGAUGACGACAAAUUUACUAGCAUAACUAUAGAGCUCGAUGACAUCUCAAACUUCAUAGUUCAUAACCUUUUCAUUUAAGACUAUUUACAGGCCCAAAUAAAAUUCAUGACCAUUUCUUAUAUUUAUUUUUAAAAAUAAAUUAUGAUUUCCAAAAUGGCCAUGGAAGGAGAUGUGCUCUUCACAAAAGUUGUAGUGCAUGACGAGAUCUAAAAAUUUGUAAUUGAUAUUUUUUAAAUUUAUGAUCAUUACAGUGUCAAACAUAGUACAAUAUUCAAAGAAGUGAAAUCAAAAGAAUCCCUUAUAUAGUUAAUAUGUGUUUCGUAAAGAGAUCUAUGUGUGAAGAAAGCUGUCAUACCAUGAAUUUUUUGGAUUUCAGGAUAUGAUUUGAAAUAAUAAUUAAACAAUAGUUUUCUAAUAAUUUUAAUUUUUCCAACAUUUAUUUUCUUGACAGGAAAUUUAGUUUAGGAAAGUGAUUGGUUGUUUUUUUUCUAAAUUAAAUAAAUUGGUUCUUCAUGUGUUGCAUUCAUGCUGAGGUAUCUUCGUGUUUCAUGAGUGUAGACAUUUUAAAAAUGAGUUUCUAGAACGUUUAGGUUCUUCUAAGAAUUUUUCGGAUUUUUUUGGAUUUAUUCUCAUUUUCCUAGAGCUAAAUCUAUUUAUUAUAAGGCCCUAGAAUCCCUUUCUUGAGCUCCAAGUAUUUUAUUUGGAUUCAUCGUGUCCCAAGCUAUCUCAAGAAAUUUUCCUAGAAUUUUAGCUUUUUUAGAGUAUUUUUUGUGGUUUCAUUGAUUUAUCUAGAAUUUUCUAGAUUUAUUUUUGCACGGGAAACAUUUCUGAAAAUGAAAUAGAAGGAAAUCCCUUUUCCUUCGGGGCGGGCUUGUGGGAUCGACCUGCUCUGGCCCAGCAGCCAGCCUGCUAGGCCCAUCUGAGCUCUGCAGCUGCUGGUGUCCAUGCCGGACACAGUAUUCCGUCGCCACCUCCCCAGCCAACUUGGGUGUGCGUGCCACGCCAGGGCUCCACCCCUGCCCCUAUAAAUAGCGAAGCCGUGUCCCCUGCUUGCCAUGCUGCCCCAGCUCGUGCUUGUGCUGUGCCUUGCCCUUGCACGCACAAGCGCUGCCACCGCCGGAGCCGAGCUGCACCGCCGCCUCGAUCCGCCACACCCCGACGUCCCCAGACCAAGCUGCCACCUCCUAGAGUUGCGCCACAUAGGCUGCCUCCAACUAAGGCAUCUGCUUCACCAAAAGGCCACCGGAGCAGCACCACCUCGCAACGCCAAUCCAGCCACCGUCUGCUGUCCGCCGUCAGCCAAAAUUCUAGCUGGAAUCUGUCUGCCCCGUCGUUGGUGAGCACCUCCAUAGAGUCCCCUCGACCUCCUCUUUCAAUCCUCGUCCUCGCAGCCGGACUACCCCAAUCCCACCUGUCACAAGCCGGCCACCAUGGCCAUUUGAAGCUCUUUGAGCUUUUGGGAUUAGGCCCCUUGGAGAUCCUAUAAUGUUUACAAGUUUUCCUAUGUCUUGCACCUUUUACAGUGAACCCCCUAGACUUUAUUUGAUCCUUGCAAUCGAACCAAGUUGUAAUCUUUAACAGAUCUAACCUCAAGCCUUAUCAAUUUUGCGAGCACUGUUUGAUGUGUCUUGCAAAUCUUCUCUGCUAGCCCCUAUUGUCUAGGGUUAGUCACGAUUAGACCUGUGCAGCUUGUUUCAUCGAUCCUUUGUUUUAGCUCCGUUUAACCUCGUUCUUGUUGUGUUAGGUUGAUGAUAACAUAAAUUACACGUUAGUAAUGAUGUUUCUAUCUUGCAUGUUUUUAAAAAUAAAUCUAAUAUUAAUUUGAAUGAUGCCUGUUAAACAUGUCUUCUUUAAUUAAAAGAUACGUAGAGUUAUACACCUCUUUUCAUAAUCAAUGUUAAUUUGAUUAAUUCUUACUUCAUAUAUUUUUCUAAAUAAAAGCUAAGUAGAGCUACACCUCGGUUUUUCAUAAACUAAUGUUUAUUAUUUUAAUAUUCAACAUUGAGUCAACUUUUCUAAAUAAAAGUUGAUUAGGCUUUUACACCUGCUUUUAUAAAUAAAUAUUAACUUGAUUAAUACCAACAUGAUUAUGUUUUGAAUAACAAUUUGAUCUGCUUGAAUCAUAAAGUAUACGUUUAGAUGUUUCACAUAGUUUGUUUUUUCUAAAAGUUAAAUGUUUAAAUGAUAUAAUUUAUACUUCAAUAUUUACAAUUAAAAUAUGGAUAAAUUAUAACUUGGUUUUUCCUAAUUACUGAUAAAAUGACCAAUGUCAAUAUGAAUGUGUUUUCUAAAUAAACUUGUUUGGCCCAACACGACACAUGUAUUAAUUCGAUUAGAUGUGUUCAUCUUUCUAACGUUAAGUGUGUAACGGGUAUAAUUUAUAUAUGAACAUUUAUGAAUAAAACUUGAUUAUGUUUUACCUCAGUUUUUGUAAAUAAAGUAUAAUUUGCAUUGAUUCCAACAUAGGUUAUUUUUCGUUCUAAAGUAUCCUCCUUUGCAUAUGUUUUGUUAAUUAAAAUAAACCGGGUGUGACAAGAGCAAUCUUGGUUCAAAUCCUAUAUACUGCACAUGUGCAAAUUUUGUGUGAGAAAUUGUAUGAUGUGUGACUAGCUUCUCCAGAGCAAGCAGACUCAUGCCCCUCCAGCAGGUGUAGUUUGGUCAAGGAGGGAGCAGAGGCGCCGGCCACCUCACACAUCUGUCACGGUUUAACUUGUCACUAGUGGCAUGUCGGGCGUAGGGCUAUGUUUUUUUUUAACUAAAUAGCACAGAAUGGAUAAUACAGCAUUUUGCAAUCGCAAAUAUGUGUGUGUGUGGGUAGGGGUAUUGUUACGUACCGUUGAGAGAAUUAAAAGAAAGAUCCAGCAUUGUUAGCUGGGUCAAAUUAACUAUUGAGCUUGGUAUGCUUCCGGAAAAAUUGCAAUCUUGAAGAACUAACCAUCUCAACUUAUUGAGCUGCCCAAUUGCAUUAGGUAUCAACCCAGAAAUCUGACCACUAAUUUCCAUGGCUUCCAAGUUAGUGAGGUUGCCAAUUGGAGCCGGCAUUGAACCUGAAAACCCAGAAUACUGGAUAUACAUGUUUCUCAAAUUUGUGAGUUCACCAAUUGCAGCUGGCAUUGGUCCUGAAAAAUCAGCACCCUCGAUAUACAAGUUUCUCAAAUUUGUGAGUUCACCAAUUGCAGUUGGCAUUGGUCCUGAAAACCCAUAUAAUAUAUACAAGUUUCUCAAAUUUGUGAGGUUGCCGAUAGAAGAUGGCAUGGAGCCAUAUGUGUUGCAAUCAUGCAUUUCAAGUGUUUGCAAGCCCGUGAGGUUUCCAACUGCCCCAGAGAAGUUACAUCCAAAGAGUCCCAAACUUGUUAGGUUUUUGUGCUGGCCAAUCCAUGAGAAAAUUGGACCUAAGUCGCUUCCUGAGUCCAAAUCGUGGUCCAACUCAUUAUCCAAAAAACAAUCAAGGUCCAACUGGUGUAGAGACUCAAGUCUACCAAAUGCAGAGAGAAAAUCCAUAGAAAUUAAAUUCCUGUUAAGGCCCAACUCCUUCAACGACGUGAAAUUACUAGAAGGCGUUGGUAUGGCAUAUACAAAGUUGGUCCUAUCAAGUCUCAAAGUCUCUAAAGAGCUGGCAUUAGAAAAGUUUGGCACAUGGCCUGAGAGAUUCAUAUUAUAGGACAAAUCGAGGACCCUUAGAUUUUUUGAUUGAAAGGGUCUAGAUGGUAACCGCCCCUCAAGAUUUGUCUGAGAAAGUUGAAGCACGGUUAAAUUGGGAAAAUCCAUGAAGAACUCUGGAAAUGGACGACCACUAGGUUCAUAAAAGUUUUCUUGGAGUUUGAUCACAACAAGAGAAUGGAGUCUCGAGAGCGCUUUAUGAAUAGGACCACUCAGGUGACAAUCAGCCAAACUAAGUAUCUGAAGUUGAGGAACAUAUGCAGCAAGAGAUGUGCCCCACUCUUCUCCACUAUUAGACAAAUCCACCGAGUCAAGGUAGAGCUCUCUUAAGUUGCUGAGGUUUGCCACAAAGGUAUCAAAACUUGAUUCCCAUAAAUUGUUAUAAUAAUCAUAAUAGUUUGGACCAUAAAAACCGAGAGAAUAAUCAAUAUUGUAUGUUGAAAGAUCCAAUGAGAGAAGGUUCACUAGUUUACUGAUGCUAGGAGGUAUCUGACCAUAUAAUCCUGAAUUGGAAAGGUUUAGGUGGGUUAAAAAAGUGAACCUCUCAAAACCAGCAGAACGGAUGUUGCCUCCACCGAUGUCAUUCAUGCUAAGGUCGAGUCGCUGAAGUGAUAUGAGGCUGAAGAGUGCAGGAUCCAAGCCAUGAGUUGACAAGCGACGGUUGUUGAGGUCGAGAAUGGUGACAUGGCCAGAGGAAGGGUCGCAGCCAACACCCUCCCAGAGACAACAGUCGGUACCAUUUUGCCAUGAUGAAAGCCUGGUGGUGGAUCUGCUGAAGGAGAAGGACUUCUUCAGCUGGAGGAGCGCCUUAGCUUGGUUUGGAUGGCACAAAAAUGAGACAGGGAGGUGAGUGAGGUUACCACCAUCAGCACGGUGGGCAAUAGAGGUGGAGAGUAGUGUGUGGAGCUGAGCAAGAAAGAGCAGUAACACCCAGCCGAUGGAAGCCAUAGCAACUCAGUAUGAGCCGAUGAUAGGCUUACAAAGAGGCACAAGGCAGAUACAUAAAGGAUUGUUAUGCAGCUUCCAGCUGCUGUCAAGUCUUUGUCCAUUAAUAAAUUAAUUAAUUUACGAGUACCAUGGCUAAGCUGUACGCAAUUGCGACACCUGAGGAGACUUGACUGUACCAUGGGCUAGCUGUACGCAAUUGCUACACCUGAGGAGACUUGACUAGCCUUUCGUCAAAUGCUGUUGGUAUCAUCCACUGCUACAACAGUGACCGGUAAUUGGAAGUCUCACUAUAGCAAGACUUCCAAGUCAACUAAGCCGGCCGCUACAUUCUGAGGAAGGUGGAAUUGAAGAUCAAAUCAAGUUGCGCAUUGGGAUGAAUUAGUCCGCACUCCGCAGAUAACAACAUCAAAUAUACUGAUCUGAUGUGCUUCAUUUUUUUUUUGGUUGGACUGGAGCGGCAUCAAGAUCCUACUGCUGUGGAAAACACUGACUUGACUCGUUUUAUCUCGCAUAAAACGUGGCUGAAGAUGAUAGUGGUGCUUCAAGAAUCAGCGAGAAGGAGCAAGUAAAAAUGCAGUUGAGCCGCAGCUAAAACUUGUCGAGGUUACCACCAUGGAUGCUCGUGAAUCGCAGUAUUCCAGCCGUGGUAGUUCUCGUCUUCUCGAAGGAGAUGUUGCAGUGUUCAUGUCUAGAGCUCAUCCAAUCCAUGGCGUUCCUCCGACAUCGCGUCACAUGCGUGUUCCUCAGGUCGCCUUUGCCUACGACCAAUAAGACGAUGACACCAGAACCUUUUUGUUUUUUUUUCCAAUCAGCAGCUUUCAAAGCGGGCACCCGCGGACAGUGCUGACCGCGCCAGAUUUGGUGCGCAUCAGCCGCAGUUGCACUCAUCCACAUCCGGCCCUCCCCCACCCUACCCCACCACCACCACUGAUUACCGAAGCUCCCUACACUACAGGGUAAGGAACAGCUAAGAUCUGAGCAAGUAAAUUCGGAAUAUUUAACUAUUUGCCAUUCUUACAGAUGAUGCUCCUUCAAAAAUAACUCUAACGAAUUCCUAUACAUCUGUCAUUGAAGAAAGAAUUAUUCUACACUUUUACCAUUUUUGCUGACGUGGUGAGCCACGUCCUCAUUCUAGUGUGAAUUGAGCAUGGCAAUGACCAUAGUGCCCCUGCCUCCCUCACGUUAGCCAUCCCCUUCCCUCUAUCCUGCCACUAAUGUAUGGUCUUCCGCUGUUGUGUGACUCCUCUGCGGUACAUCGGGGGAGGAUACCACAACUUGGAGGUGGGGGGGGGGGAGGUUAGUGUGCCGAUGCACAAAUCUAGGUGUCCACUCCUUCUCCAUCGAAGGAAAUCCAAGCACGGCAUAUUAAGAGACAUGGCCACUUAACUUUCAGCUUACAUCUCUUGGUGUGUAAUACUCCCUCUGUACUCGUAAAGGAAGACGUUCUAGGCUCUUGGCCCGUUUUCUCAAAGGAUGUCAUCGCACACUCGGAGGUGAGGAGUUGGACGCGAUUGCCCCUGCGUUUCGACUUCCAUCCGCAGUAAUCACGCACUCGCAAUCCACUGCAUUGAUCUCGCCUCUUUGUUUCACUCACCACCGCACGGUCGCUUCAAUUUCCUUCCUCGCGCCGCACGCUCGCUUUCCUUCUUCGCCGCGCACCUUCCUUCCUCACUGCUCGCCGCAUGUCUUCAUCGCCCUCACGCUGCGCCUUCCUUCCUUGCCACUCGCCACACGUCUUCCUCACCACUCGCCGGUCUACUCCCUUCCUUCCUCGCACCAUGGAGUCCGGUGCCAUGGAGGUCGCUCACGCCACGGAGGAGGCGCUGGACUCAGAGAUGAUGCCAGAAUCGGAGAUGUCGUUGGCCUCGGAGAUGGCACUGGACUCGUCAGUCGAGACGGUGCUGGACUCGGUCGAGAUGGCGCCGGACUCCGUCGAGGUGAUGCCAGAGUCUCUGUGUGCUUGCUGCGGCACGUGGAGCCAACAACGACGACGAAGGCUGCUACCAAGCUUGCCGCGAAGCUAGCAUGUGUGCACGUUGCGGUAUUGUACACAGAGACUACGAUCUCACAACAUGGAUCUUUGAUGGUAUAGAAAAAUUUGAUUGUGAGCUCUACAUUCCUGAUGUGGAGAAGCUUCAAAUGGAUAGUGACACAAUACUUCUUCCUGAGCACAUUAUCAAGAAGUUGGAUGAGAUCUACAAUAUGAAGAAGUUGGAAGAUGCAAAGAAAGAACAGUAAGGUACAUGUCUCAUUCAGUCGACCUAACAGGCAUGCAAAAACUAAUUUGCUAGUAAUAUUCUUGCUUCGGCUAGCAAUUGCUUCAGCUAGCAUGCUGCAAAGACUAACAUGCUUGCAUCUUCUAAUAUUCUUCUUCUAAUUUGCUACAGGAAGGCUAGCAAUUGCUUCGACUAGCAAGGAAGAUUCACAAGAGAUUUGCAAUGGUAGCUGAUCUUCUUUCUCUAGUUUUUCUUUUUGCAUGUGAGGAAUUUUGAACUUGUUGCACCCUUUAACUUUCAUGGCUUCCCUCAAAACACUCUGAAGUGUUACAAAAAUCAUGUUUGCUUUCCAUGGAGAGUACUCUAAGAAUGCCUGCAAAACAUGUGUUCAAAAAUUCAAUCAAUGAGUAUAUUAGUUGUUCAAGAAACAAUGGAACAAGUGAACAAUUGAUCAAUUUACCUGUUAGACUAUUGGAACUAGAUCUUUUAUUGUUUUUGCAUCCUUCUUGUAUUGAAUAGCUUGAAUAGCUUGAAAAAAACCCAAGUCUAAAAUGUUAAAAUCCGUAGAAUUGGGUGGUUGACAAAUGAGGCGAAUGUCAAACCCUUCUUGCUUAGCAGCCUCACAAAAAAUAGGAUCAUCCACUUUUAAAUGGGAAGGUGCAUUAUCUUGUUGUAUGAAAAUUGUCUUGUUCACAUCUUCUCUUGGCCAUUUGGCACGAAUGGCAGGCAGCACAUUGUUUACCAUGAAAUCUCUAAUCACCUCUCUUGUGAUCGAAGAAAUUGGCUUGAUUACUUGUUCUCCGAGAAGACGAUUGUGACUUCUUAUAACAGCAAGUUCAUAAGUGACAAGUGGAAAACAACCUAUUUUUCCAUGAAAAACACAUUCUCCAUUCCUAAACCUUGGCCGAGCACAAACACACAAGAACAUGAACCUAGGGAUGUAAUUCUUGUCUUUACAAGUGCGAUGUGGUUCAUCUUCCUCGGGUAGCAAGUAAUAUUUUUCAAAUUUUUGAGAGAGGUAGAACCAUUUUUCAUCGAUGAACACAAAAUCAAAAAAAUCCUUAAAUCUUGGAUCACCAAGCAAACCCUACUCAAUUAUGUCAACACACCACUUCAACCUAGUCUUCUUGUUAGCAUCUGUGAGGUAUGGUUUGAUGCUACUAGAGUGAAGCCUAAGCAAACCUUUUCUCAAAUACCUUUGUAUCCUAGCUUUGCUCAUACCAAGUUUACUAGACACAUCUUUUAUGGUCAUUCUUUGUUUGAGAGGAAUGUUGCACAAUUGUUCCAAAUCAAGAGGGACUGCCUUACGGCCACAUCUACCCUUCUUUUUACUUGCAACCACAACAGGAAUGUUAUGAGCAAGUUGGUGUUUACCUCGCUUCCAUAAGCGCUGAAAUGACCAAAUGUGCACUCCAAAUUGAUCAGCAACAAUUCUUGUAUCCUUCUUGCCUAGUGUCCCAUUCUUGCUUCUAGCCAACAAUGCUUGGUACACUUGUCUUGUGACUUCUUCUGUCAUGUCCUUCCUUCUAUGGUGUAUUUUAUCGGGAACCUCAACAUCUUGUUCUAUUAAAAGAAAAAAAAAGAACAUUCUUCUUGUUAGCCACAGAUUACAUAAAAAAUAAUCAAAAGAGGAAAGAACAAACUAAAAAAAAUUACCAGCGAGGUUUUGUAUGUAAUCAAAGUCAACCACACCAUAUUCGUCUAAUGGCAAGUUCAAAUCAAAUCCUAUCCAAAAAUGAAACAAAAAAAUUAGAAAAGAUGGCGCUUGAGAGAAACAACAAACUCAAACAAGGAGGUGAUUACCAUUGUCUUUGCCGGACUCCAAUAUUGGCUCGUUGAGAUCGAAGGCAAGAUUGCCAUUGUCAUCUUCUUCUAAGCGAACGUUCAGAUCAAAGGCAACAACUCUAGGAUCAGCCAUUGCAUGCGGUAGUGAAGAGAAGAGAGGGAAAGUGAGGAGAUGAAGCACGGUAAUGGAAAGAGAAGAGGCCAGGGAAAGACUCCGUUAAAAUAGGCAUGGUGGAACACAAACAUCGGAGCUAUCAAGCGCAAAAAAUUAGAACCCCAUGGCGCCACAGUGAAAAUCAUUUGCAUGUGAAAAACUAACGAAAACAUGGUGCCCAACACGCCCAGAACGCGAGCACAAACGUGCUCAAGCGGCUCAGCGCGCGCACCAUGCCCAGCAGAAUCAAAUCCCAUGCAGCCACAGCGCUUGCCUUUCCCCCCUCUAAUUUUUGGCUCCUCGUUUUUAUGCAAUUAUGAAAUUACUCAUUUUGAUGGAGAUUUGUAGCAUCAUUCAAGUAAAUACAAAUUGAGAUAGUAGAAACAUGAGCUUGUGAUAUAGCUACACCUAAUUCCGCCAGGUAUCGAACCCGGGUCCUUAGGGCAAACACCUCGCUGCACUAGCCGUCUGAACUAUGGUUGUUUCUCGUAUGAAAUGCACCCGCAACCAUUUUUAAUAGGGGCAGACAAGAAAAAAUACCCUCUAAUUAAUCACUCCUUGGUAAGCACAAUCAUGUCCUAAACGACUUCCUUUACUAGUACGGAGGGAGUAUGGCUCUAUUUGGUAUGGCUCCAACUCCAGGUUUUGCUGCUCCACUCCUCAACUUCAGCUGGAGCUAGCUUUGCUUGGAGUUGGAGUUGUGUGGACGGGAUGUUUGGUAGAAGGGUGCCCAGCUCAAAAAAGAGGAUUUUCAUAGGUAAUUGCCAUUUUUUCCCCAUGGCCCCGCAUGUCAUCAUGUAUAUACCUAUUUUUUUCCUUUUUUCUGAGCUUAUCUUCUUCCUCGGGACUGAAUCAGCUCGUUCGCUCGCCCACGGCCCGCGAGGCCUUGCUCGAUUCACCCUACCCAAGCUAGUAACCAGAUAGAGUCAGCAGCGCACCGGAUGGGGGCUAGCAGUGGCAAACAGUUCUAGGUCAGCAGCAGGCGGAUCGCAGGAUGUUGCCAAUGAACGGGAUAGAGCUUGUGGGGUGUAGAAUGGGUGCAGCGCAGGAUGGGGCUAGCUGGCGACGUGCAGGAUGGGGCACGUGGGGUGGGGCCAGCAGCAUGUAGGAUGGGUAGGCGGUGCGCGGGACGGAGCCACCGCACAGGAUGGUAGCGGUGCUGGAUGGGGUUGGCGGUGCAUAGGAUGAGGCUGACGUGUAGGACAAUGGCGGUGCGCAAGGGGAACGAUGGCUCCAGCCCUCACGAGCGAUGGCGGAGGUGCAAGGCGAUAGCAACGGCGCAUAGUUGGAUGGCGGCAACGGCAAGGAUCAAGGAGUAGCGGCGCGUGGGCUUGGGGGCGGUCCUAGGCUAGGGGUGGCGCAUGGGUUGGUAGUCGCGAGAGAGAUGAAGGUUGUGGGACAGAUGAAGCGGGGGAAAAAAUAGAACCAAAAUAUUUUCUUGUGUAACCGAUGGCAGUGGUGGGUAAGUAUCUUCUAACUCCGCGUCUAGGUUCGUUUCGCAGUGUUUUGGAUCUGUGAAAGAGGUGCUCUACGAAAAUGAACUAGAACUCCAGUAACUCCAUGAAGUUAGACUGCUUCAAUAUUUUUUGGAGUUGGGGUGUUUGGCUAGCUCCACUCAGCUCUGAACUGCGGUUUGGAGUUGGAACCACUGCAAAUAGACCCUAUAUAUGGAGCUUGGUACUAAAACCGUAUAGUUCCUCCGCAGGUUUGCAAAAAGAGAGCAGAAGCAAGCACAAAAUUAACAAGACUUCCCUUAUGCAAGGGGCACUUUGAUGCCACACACACGAUUUCACCAUGUAAAUUUAGGGAAAAAAAUAAAAUUACCUUGCUAAUAAUUCAUCUGUCAUUGGAUGGUCCUCUCAUAGAUUUUUUCUGACUUCGCCCGGACAGGCUAAUAUGCAAAUAUAAUUGUGACAAAUAAUUAUCAUUCACACAAUCACUUCCAUUUUCUUUUUCAUUCGUUACCUCCAACCUAAAAGCCAUGUCCAUAGUAUGUUGCUCCCUUACUGUAUUGUACAUGUUCUUCCCUGCUAGCUUGAGACCCUGUUCCCCGCCAGUCAUGGGUGUAAUCAUCCUCGCCCUGGUGGCCUCCCUUCUUGCACCAUGGGAUACAGCUGAGCCAUGGAAUAUAUGUGUUAAGAAUGCCUUGUUCCUCAGUGGUGGAGGCAGGAUUUUUCGUAUAGGGGGGCAAACACUGUAAAAGAAAAAAAAUUAUACAAAACUUUCUAUAAUGCCAACGCUAUUAUACUCCACCUGACCGGGAGAAGAAAUGUUGUACAUGCAUGAUAUCUUGGAUUUUUUUUUCGUUUUAAAAAAAAUAGAGCGCAUCAAGCAGUGAUGCAUUCUUCUGUACGUAGCUGGUUUGUCCUUUCGUGUAUAUUCCUAACGUACCGUGGUAAUUUGUAGUUGUGUUUUCUGUGAAAUUUUGAUGUUUUUUUGCACCUCUUCUAUGAAAAAUAAGCGUAGAGUCUACAUAAUAUACAUACAAACAAAGUACGGGCCUGCCAAGUCUAGAGGUAAAAAAAUAGGCCUAAAACCUGGUUUCCUUAGGCGCAUUGGGCUGCGAAGCAAGAAGAAACAUCAUGAGGGGCUGUUCUUUACUAGCUGCGGUGAUUAAUAGUAUGAUUAAGGGGGGAUUUUCACUGAAACUACAGCAAGGUUAAGGAGGGUCAGGCCCUUGCACGGCCCUUGUGGCUCCGCCCCUCUGGUUCCUACUAUGAGAACACUGCUCUCCUCUCUGCUAGCCUUCCCAAGGUUCGUAGCUUCAUCCAUAUGACACUAUAGUUGCCAUUGCCUCCAUGGUAGUGGGAGGGCUUGUAGGGGGCACAUGCCCCAAUUGGUCGGGCUGGUCCUACUUCAAGAAGCUACAAAAAUGCCUAUUAUACCUUGGGUCGGUAUUUUAUUUACAUGGCUUUCCUAUAUAUCUACUGAAAGAUGAUUACUUACAUAUUGCCUGUUGUUUGAGACUGGUGCAGUGCAAAUAGACCAUGAAGACUGUGGGGAGCAUGAAAUGCAUGCACUGACUGUACAUGUGACCAUGGAGUUGGACAAUGGACACAUGUCAUCAACUGAAAUGUUGGACGUGGUGAGACAAAUGGGUGAGAGUGGUUUGUUUGAAUUUUAAUCUUUAAAAGAACUUUAUGUCUUAAAUCACAAGUUAUUUUUAAAUCUAUUUAAUUUUAACUGUGGCAUUUCUUUGAAUCGAUUCAACAAAUAAGGUCCAAUGUAAAUAUCUUAUACGUUUUUUUUCAAAAAAUCAAAUAUACUAGCUCAUGUUAGAUAUACUAAUUUAAUAUUUUGAGUAUACAAUUUCAACAUUGUAAUUAAAUUGAUUCAUGUUUUAUAUAACAUGUAAACAUUUUGACAUAAAAAGUUUUGAUCUAGUUUUUCCAAAAUGUCGAUUUAUGGUUUGAAAAUUGUUGAAUAUAGUUGUUUCAGAUUGUUGAUCUAGUUUUUGAAAAAUGUGAAAUCUAAUGUUGUUGAAAUGUUGAUAUAUGUAUUGCAAAAUGUUGAACAUCAUUUUUUAAAUGUUGAUCUAGGUUUCAAAAAUAAUGUUCAAUCUAGUAUUUAAAAAAUGUUGAUCUAGGUUUUGCAAAAUGUUGAAUAGAGAUUUUUAUAAUGGUGAUGUAUGUCUGGCACAAUGUUGAAAAAAAAACAGAGUUGGAAAUCAAUAUACAUGUGUGAGGCCGGAUACACAGGUUAGCUCACAUUUGACAAUAGCGCAGGUUUUGUGCAAGGCCAGAUGCUUGAGCACAACACACUUAUUUACCCAAAAGAAGGUUAACAAGUACAAGAAGUAACAGCAGAAGAAAGAGCCACAGUAUACCGCAACACCUCAUCAGAUCACAGAUCCUUCACUUUCACUAGAGCAUAAUUCAUUCCUUCGGAAGUCACACCUUCCAGCAAAGUACAUAACACAAUGUUCCAACCUCUAUAGGGAAGGUGGUUUUUUGGAUUUCCGUCCACUCUGCCAUGAAGUCGACCAAGAUCUGAGACUUGAUUGCAUGUCGUGGGCAAAAUUCAAGAUCGAACUCACCGAGUUCCACAGACCACUUGACAACUCGGCCGUUAACAUCUCUGUUGUGGAGGAUUUCACCAAUGGGGAACGAGGAGACCACGCAUAUUUUGUGUUCCUGAAAGUAGUGGCGCAGCUUCCUUGAAGAUAUUAACACUCCAUAGAGCAGUUUUCGUACUUGGGUAUAACAGGUCUUGGAGUCGCUGAGGACCUCGCUGACGUAGUAUAUUGGCCGCUAUACUGAGUAGGUGUGACUGGGUUCUUGUCGCUUGACCACCAUUACGAUGCUAACCACGUGUGUUGUAGCGGAGAUGUAGAGGUAGAGUGUUUCCUGGUCGGCCGGAGCCGUCAUGACCGGGCAUGUAAUGAGGAAAGUUUUUAAGUCUUCAAGCGCCUUGCUAGCCUCGUCGUCCCAUAUGAAUUUGUCCGCCUUUUUGAGGAGUUUGAAGAAGGGCAGGCCUUUCUCUCCAAGUUUGCUGAUGAAGCGGUUAAGAGCUGCCAUCAUGGCAGUCAGCUUCAUGACAUCCUUCUUGUUGGCAGGUCUUCUCAUGCUUCUGAUUGCAUCUACCUUUGCGGGAUUGGCUUCGAUGCCAUGCUGGCUAACCAUGAAGCCCAGGAGAUUGCUAGAAGGGACACCGAAGACGCACUUGCCGGGAUUAAGCUUCCAGCGAUAGGCCCAGAGGCUGUUAAAGGUUUCCGCGAGGUCGGCUAUGAAGCUUUUCUCAUCUUUGGUCUUGAUGACCACAUCAUUGACGUAAGCCUCGAUGUUUCUGUGCAGCUGAGUUGCGAGGCAACCCUAGAUGGCCUUCUGGUAGGUGGCACCAGUGUUUUUAUAGUGUUGUAAUAGUAUAUACCGAAGGGCGUUAUGAACACCGUCUUGUCUUGGUCGGCUGGUUUGAGGGCAAUCUAGUGAUAGCCCGAGUAGUAGUCGAGGAAGUAGAGCAGGAUGCUUCUCACGGUGGAGUCUAUGACUUGGUCCAUACGCGGAAGAGGGAAGGGGUCCUUAGGGCAGUGCUUGUUCAGGUCGGUAUAAUCAAUGUACAUUCUACAUUCACCAGUUUUCUUUCUUACAGGGACUAGGUUUGCUAACCAGUUGGGAUGUUUACAUUCACGGAUGAAUCCGGCUGCUAGGAGCUUAUUCAAUUCUACCCUAAUGGCCUACUUGCGAUCUUGGGCGAAGCGUCAUAGUUUCUGUUUCACCGGACAUGCAGUCGUGCUCAAGUUCUCCAAGGAGUGCUCAACCAGCUCCUUGAGGACACCGAGCGUGUCUGAUGGAUUCCAUGCAAAUAUGUCCAAGUUAUCCUGCAAGAAACUGGUGAGCGCGAGUUCCUAUUUCUCCGAGAGGUCGGCCCCAAUGAGAGCCAUUUUGGUUGGGUCUUCAAGACCAAGGCAAAUCUUCUUGACCCGGGGCUCAUGCUGUAGGGAUGUGGACGUCAGCUCCUUCUCAAGGAUUGUUAGCUGGUCCGUGCUGAUCUUCUAAGCCUCGGCGACCAUGGCGGUGGUGAUUGCCGACAGUUCCAGAGUUUCUGCAAGUUGGACUGCUUCUAUGUCUAUAACAUCCGCAAAAUCACCAACCUAAAAUCACCCGUUAAAAAUCGCUUUCAAAAUCUUUUUACCGCUGAGCUCCCAGAAAUCAAAAAUCUUCCCGGCAAUUUCGCCGUCCCGGCACCCAAGCCGACAGCCAUCAUUUUUACCCGUGCCCGUUUUUCUCGCCGCGUGCCGUCGUCAGACGCCACGCGCGUGCUCCGACCGCGUGCCGCGAACGCCGCCGGUCUCUCUCUUUUUCUUUCUCUUUUUCCCCUCCCCUUUUCUUUUUCUUUCUCUUUUUCCUUCUUCCUUUCUUCUCCUUCUUCCUUCUUCUUCCUCCUUCCUUCUCUCUCCUCCUCCUUCUUCUUCCUGGCGCCCGCACGACCGGCCCCAACACCUUAACUCCCCCUAGCGCCACCUCCACUGGUGCCACGCCGCCUGGCCGCCUCGGGCCGCGCCCCCCGGGCCCCAUGCCGCCGCCCCGGCGCCAGUCCCACCCGGCCCGGCCCCGCCGGCCCCCAAGCGCACGGCGCGCCGCCACCGGCCCCUACCCCCACCCGCGCGCCACCUCCGGCCAGCCACGCCACCGGUGUCGUGCCGGCCACCGUCGCCCGCCGGCCCGAGCUGCACGCCACCCCGAGCCCUGCCGCACCUGCCGGACCCUGCCUCCGCCCAUACCGCCGGCGCCACACCCUGCACGGACCCCCACCCCACCGCCAGCCUAUAAAAGGGGCCGCCCGCCCGGCCUCCCUUGCCACUCCACCACCGCCCCAGCUCGCCACCACCGCCCGUGCGCCGCCGCCUCCCGCUGCUGUCCGUGCGCCGCCGCCUCCCGCCGCCGCCCGUGCGCCACCGCCUCCUAGCCAUUACCGGCCGCCCCUUCUCCAUCCUCAAAGCUCCAAGGUGAGAGGAAAAAUGGGCUCCCCUCCACUCCCUCCGCCGCCCCCGGCCCUCGACUCGCCGCCGGCGAGGCCCGGCCGGCCGGCCGCCGCUGGCUCCCUCUUCUCUCUCUCCCUCUCCAAGUUCCUGGAGAAGAGGAAGAUAAGAAUGCCCAAAUUUCUGAUCCGACCCCCUCUUUCUUCUUAUUUACAGAUUAGUCCUUCCACCACUCUCAUAAACCUAUUCGCGGAUAAGCCCCUCCACCUCCAGGAUUAUUUACAAAUAGGUCCCUGGUUUAUCGCAAAUCAGUCCUAAACCUCCUUAUUAAGCCCUUAAACCAUGUUUAACUCAUCAUUUCAUGCGCCAAACUUCCUCUAAUUAAUCCCAAAUUCGACCACGUCAUCCUCCAGUAUACUUCUGCCGAUCCAUAUCCAAAUUUCCCAAAAAUAUUCCCUCUACCUAUUUUUCAUUCGCAUUUUCUGUUCGGAGCUCAACGGAUAAAAACCAAUUUUCUUUAUUUAUUUGUGUGUCUGUUUAUGUGUGUCGUAGAUCGCGGAUUACCCGAGGAGGAGCCUGAGGAGGAGUUUGACCGCGAGCCCGAGCCCGAGGACCAGCAGCACGAGCCGGAACUCCCGGAAGGCUUUGAAGACGGCAAGUCCAAUCUCACCCUUUGAUGCAUACUUAAUACCUAGUUUUUCAAACACAACCUAUUGGCCUGUUUUAUAAAAUGCAUAUUGUUCUAUUGCAAGACAUGGUUGGAUAGCCACCCCUUGAUUGUUAUGAACAUUCCUUGUUAUCCUAUGGUUGUCUCUAAAUAUGACCCGCUCUAUUUAGGCGAUAACCACUGCUAGAAUGCUUAGGAAAUAGCUACUCGACUACAAUCAUUAUUACAACGGUUUAUUUGGAAAAUAAAUGUGUGUGUGUGCAAUUGGGAAAAUGGUUUUCCGGGUUCAGAGGAAAGGAAUGUGUAGACAAGAUGGAUGGGUGUUUCUUGUGUGAAAUGCCAGGAUGUUGUGCUCGUACCUUAGUGGUUGAGCAAUGUCGGGAGAUAUCCAUCUUGUCAUGGUUAAGGAGCGAGUUGAUGUGUCAUCUUGCCUAAUUCCACCAUCGUGCAACCACUUGACCAUUGUAUGGGCAACGGCUUAGCAUAAAUCCCACUAGCUAAACUGUUAGUCUUCAGGGGUGUUGGUGAGCAACGGGAACCCAUGGAAAAGGAGUAAGAUCUUGGUGACUUAGGUCCUGGUAACGGUCUCAUGGACGAGCCGUGAACCCCUUGGGUGUUUCCGUGAGGACUAGCCAGUCUCAGCUAAGGUGGGUAAUGGCUUUGUGAGGAUCCGCACCGGCACUAAGGUGAUCGUGCUGCGGUACCCUACUUGUGGGAAAAGUGUACAACCUCUGCAGAGUUAAAACCUAUCCGAGUAGCCGUGUCCACGGCAUUGGACGAGUUACGUCUUGGUCACAUAACUAGCACUUGGGCAUGGAUGUCGCGUGCGUGUGUGUGUGUGUGUUGGAUUUUGGAAAUGUCCGGCAGUUGUGCCGUGAGCUAUGGCGGACGGGGAGUCCGAUAGUGAUAAAACUUGGAUCCUAUUGGGUAGGAUCAACCCCACUUAAUGUUUCGGUUACUAAAGAAAAGUUUUACGAAAACUUGUUUGAAAAUGAACCCAUGCAUGUGUUGAAAAUCUAGCUUUAUUGCAAAUAAACCCUAGCCUAUCCUUGUUAUAUCCUGUGCAUAUACUUGCUUGUAUCCCCCUCCGUGGAUGGGGUUGGACUUGUUGAGUAUGUUCGUACUUACCCUUGCUUUGUUACUACAGAGGAAGACCCGGACUUCAUCACCGAAGACCUUGCGUAGAGGUUGUGUCCGCACCCAACGUUGCCUUUUGUGUUGGCCUUUCCAAGAUGCUACUGCUACCGUGUAGUCCCGAGUGCUGUCUUUUGGUAGUCGCUUGGUUAGCCGCUGUUGUCUAUUUACUUCUUAUCGCUGCGUGGCUCUCACGCCCACUCCCUCGGGAGUUGUACGGUAACUGAAUUAUCUGUCGAAUAAAUGUGUUAUCAGCCUCCUGGGACUGAUAUUUGUAUCACAUUUAGUCUCUACUUAUGUGGGGACGCUUCAGUGUUGCACUUAUAUGAGGUCUCCACGUCAUCGUAGAUAGAAAGUACUCCGUUAGGAGCUGGCAUCUUGAGGACAAGGUAGGUAUGGUGCGGGAUUGCCAUGAACCUUGCCAGCAUUGGCCUACCGAAAAUAGCGUGGUAGGAUGUUUUGAAGUUGGCUACCUCAAACAUGAGGUGUUUGGUGCGAUAGUUGGCCUGUGUGCCAAAGGUGACCGGCAAAACUACUCGGCUGAUGGGAUAGGAUCCUUUUUCGGGUACGAUACCAUAGAAGGGUUCUUCACAAGGCUAGAGCUGCUUAAAAUCAAAAUCCAUAUGCUUCAAUGUCUCAGUUUAGAUGAUGUUGAGGCCACUACCUCCAUCGAUUAGUACCUUAGGCAGUAGAGCCCAAUCUAUGGUCGGUCAGACUACCAACGGGUAGGACCCAAGAUCCGGGAUAUGGACCCAAUGGUCUUGCCUGGAGAAGGUUAUUGACUGCUCGGACCAGCGCAGAUAUUGGAUUGUUAUAUUGAAACGAAGUGGACCUCUCGCUGGCGCAGCUUCUGCUGGCGAUUGCUGCAGGAGGUGUUGCGGUCGCCCACGAUGAUGUUGACCUGACGCCCAGGUCACUAGAAGUCUCCGUUUUGGUCAGCAUUAGGACGUUGGGCAUCAUGACGCGGCUGAUUACGCUGUUCCUCCUUGUUCUGGUCGGUGCAGUCAUCGCACCUACCGUUGUUACGGUCGUUGCAGUCGUCAUGAUCAUUGUUGCUACGACUGCCAUGGUUAUCUUGGCAUUGAAUAUUAUUACGAUUGCGAUACUCGCGCCAGUUACUGUCUUGACGGUCAUCGCUAUGCCGAGGUCGUGUAACACCCUAACUUGUUUGAGUUUGUUUAAGGCCUUAAGAUUUCUCUGUGAAUUUAUUAGGCAUUAAAAUCUUUUUCUUAAAUUAGCUUAAUGCACCAUAGGUUUAAGUGUGUUGCAUUGCAUGCUGGUUGCAUUUCUUAUUCUUUGAGUGUGAAAAGGUUUAAAAAUGCGUUUAGGCGAUGUUUAGUUUCCUCUGAGAAUUUUUCAGAUUUUUCUAGGAUUUAUUCUCAUUUUCUUUCAGCUUAAUCCAAUUUUUGAAGGUUUCUAUAAAUCCUUUCCGAAGCUCCAAGUCUUUUAUUUGGGUUCCGUGUGUCCCAAAUCAUCUCCAAGAAUUAUCCUGAAUUUUUUGAAACUUUCGGAGCAUUUUUCACGAUUUAAUUAUGAUUUCAGGAUUUUUUGAAAUUAUUUUUAAAUCCAAAAUUAAUUCGAAAAAAAGAAAUAAAUCCUGACCUCCACCUGACCUAUAAAUAUAUAUCACCGCGUUCCUCUCAACGCGAGGAUUUCAGAUCUAAAAUCCUUUUUCGAGUUGACUCUCCGAGCUCCGUAGAUUUGAAGUCAAAGUUCGGCCGCCCGCAAAACUCCAACGAGCAGAUCUGGCAAAUCCGUUCGUCCUUGGCCGAAGGUGAGCACACCGUUGCGUUCGUAUCGUCGAUCUCGUUCCGUUUUGCUAUUCAUGCGCGAGAUCGGACUUUAUUUUCAGCUUUUCUUUUUUUUUCUCUAUUUCUUCCCGUUACUGUUCUGUACCGUAGCCAUGGCCGCCUGUUCCGCUCCAGCGCCCUGCAGCGCACCGCCGCCGACCUGCCUCGCGGCGCCGCCACCUUGCUCACCACUCCGCCAACCGUGCCGCUCUGCCCGGCGCCGCCGCAGGCGUGCGCUCCGCCCGGCUUGGCCGUCGCCGCCGGCAGGAGGACUUCCUGGUAAGCGCAUCGGUGUGCAUAUGAAGGAAGAAGAUGACGGUUUUGCGAUUUAGCCUUCGGAAAAUGAUAUUUUCUGAAAGGAAGAUUUGUGUCUUGUGGUUUUGUAAAAAGGACCCUGGAAAAGCUAGAUUCUCAAGUUCCAGCCCUACCCGAGAUCUUUUGCAAAUAUAACCCUAUAAAUUCUGUUAUUUGCAAGCACUUUUACAUGUGUCUUGCAAAUCUUUCUUGCUAGCCCCUGCCGUCUAUGGUUAAUUGCGUCUGGGUCCCUACCACCUUGUUUAUCUCAUAACUUCUUCGUUCUAGCUCCGUUUUGAGUGAUUCUUUCGCUCACACAUUCGUAUUAACGAGUAGAUUAGUUUGGUACUGCUUUUAAGUACUAUUUUUGAUGAUUAGUGUACUGUUUUUAAUUAAAUGCAUUUGUUUGCUUGUAUGUGCACGUGUGACGCGUAUAGAAGAAGCGUAGUUCGAGGAAUCCAAAGAAGAGGAAGACUGAAGACUCUGAGCAGCAGCAGGCCUUGAGGAAGGCAAGUGUCCUUGGUCAUUCCCGUUUAUACCUAAUUGACAUGCAUUGAUUCACAAUAUUUAUUUACCGCGUGCAUUAACAUGAUGGGUUCCUAUUAAGGACAAUGCCUAGUUUCUCUUGAUCAUACCUUGCAGCCGGGUUGUUUAAUUAAUCUUGAGGGUAGAUUAUGCUUAGCUUGCUCAACUGGGUUGGUAAAUAAACAACAUGGUUCAUUUAUCUAUUUACUCUGCGUUCCUGAUUUAAUUACAAGACCAUAUAUUUUAAUCGGAACAUGGAGCGACCACCCAGGAAAACAGUACAACCACAAGGACUAAAUGGCUCUGGUCUUGGCUAACUAAUUAGAGGACUCUAGUGUUGGACUAGUGUUAAGGGGGAGCAUGACUCGCGGAACCUCGUGCACUGGAACACACUAGGGAAGUCUUUGUAAAGGCCUCGUAGCGUCCCUACGCAAUCACACCUCGGAAGUGUGGUAUUGUGCCUACUUUUGCACAGCAUGGUUGGGUCUAAAGUUCACCUGAACUUUUACGCGACUUGUGGGUAAAGAUGUACAACCUCUGCAGAGUGUAAAACUGUUAUAACAGCCGUGCUCACGGUCAAGAGCGGCCUGGACCCUCACAUGAUUAAUUUACUUGAAGAUGAUACUACUGUGUUAUAUGUUAUGUUCAUGCUUAUGGUAUAUCAUUGCUCUAUAUUAAUUGUGGGAUGGUAUAAACUUACAUUUUCUAGUAAUUAGAUGAUGAAUAAAAUUUGACCAACUAAAAGUGCUAAUCGCAAUUAACCUUGUCAGCCUUCCACCAUAUAAAGCCUUGCAUGUCAUAUAUAUUUCUCUCUUGCUGAGUACGACAUGUGCUCACGCUUGUGUUUUAUAUAUUGCAUCUACAACAUUCGGAUUGCUGCUCAGACCUGGAGAAUUUUGAAGAUUACUAAAGUUUUUGGAAGAGUUCUAGGCGAGUCCACCAGUCAGCUGCCUGUGGAGUUUUUGGAGAUCCGCUGCCUAUAUUAGAGAUUUAUAUCUCAAUUCUGGUUACAUAAUUUAUGUAAUUCUCUCUUUACGCUAUAACACUGUAUUUGAUAUUUACUGAAGUCAUCAUAUGUGUGAAACUUGAUCCUGGCACACAUAUGAUAGUCAUCUGGUUUUGCCUUUAAAACCGGGUGUGACAGGUCGCUUGUAUUCCAUCGGGGCACCGAGCUCUUUUUUCAGAGCCAUGUAGUCACGCAAGGUAUGGUGCGCAUCCUUGUGGAAGGGGCAUAGGCCACUCAGAGUUCCAUCAAAUUCCUCACGAUUGAAGGUGUAGUCGGGUUCGCCCCAGCAGCAUAGACUUCCGGGGCUCUUUUGCGGAAAUGGGGCUCUGGACGUGCUUGGGGCUCGAUAUGCAGUGGUUGAUAGUAGUUGUCGCUCUAUUGGUGCCUCUGGAACUGAACUUUUGAUGCCUCUUCAAUAUCGGCUUGCUCAUCGACCACUUCCAUCAUCUGUCCGACUGUUUUCGGUUUUGCCUCAUAUAGCUUUUCAAACAUUUCUGAUUCAUCAAACUCGAGCGAAAAUAUUAGAUGAUAUUGCGAUCAUCGAUGCCUACAAGCCUAUUGCGAUUCUCGAAGAAGCGGUUGGCGUAUUCUCGAAGUGGCUCGCCUUCUAUUUGAUGGACUUGACAUAGCUUUUCCCUAUUGCCAGGUCGGUUGUAUGUGGCCUAAUAAUUCUGAGUGAAAGCUCUAGCGAGCUGACCCCAACUUUCAAUGCUAUUUGGGGGAAGGUUUUCCAGCCACAAGAGCGAAGCAAAACCCAUAACUACAGGGAAGUAGUCAACCAUUUGAUCGUAGGUGCCGUUAGUGGCUCUCAUAGCCAUACUGUAUGUCUUGAGCCAUAUAGUUGGGUCCGAACGGCUAUCGUACUUUACGUUGAUAGCUGGUUUGAAAGUAGGUGGCCAUACAACAGCCUUGAGGUGAGGCUUAAAGGCGGCAAAGCCAUCAAUUGCCAUGCCGUUGUUGUAGUCAUCGUCGAAGUAGUAUUGGUCAGGGUUGACCCUUCCGCGUCCACCAUAGUUGCGUCUAGGUGGAUAAUAAUCGUCUUCAUAAUCAUACUCCUGCUUGGGCGGAUUGUAGACAUCCUCGUAGUUGUAAUCAUGCCUGGGUGGGUCGUGGGCGCCUCCGGGUGCAUCGUAUGCACGGUCGUAGUCGGCGCAACGGCGCAUCUCAUCUUCCUGACGGCAUCUGUCAUUAUGCGCCGCAUCGUGGUUUGGUAUAGGAGCGCCAUAGUUGCGAUCGUACUCAGCACGGCGACGAAACUCAUACUCAUCGCGCUCAUUGUGGCAUUUAUUUAAGUCGGUGCAGAUCUCACGAUUCUAGCGAAGCUCGUGCAGGUCAUCUCGGAGAUCGUGCUGCCGUUCUGAUCGGCCUUUGUCUCCAUCGUGGUUUCUCCCGCCGCGGGGGCGCUUGUCGUUGUUAUGUUGUUGAUGAUCAUUGUUGACGGCGUUGUUAACUGGAGGAUUCGGUGGCUGGACGACUGGUGGGUUGAUAGGUUGGGCGGCUUGUAAGUUCGCAGCUUGUCCGGCUUGUGGAUUCGCAGCUUGUCCGGCUUGUGGAUUGGUGGCUUGUCCGGCCUGUGGAUUGGCGGCUGGAACAAUGUUUUGGUCUACUUCUUCUUCGUUGAUUCGGGGUAGGCGGCCAUCCCUGCGUUCACCUCGGUGAUGGUCAGAUUUGUUGUACCCAGACCUACUGCGGGAAUGCUCGAAGGAUGAGGACCGGGAGUGUGGAUGUCGUUCGUUGGAUCGCACCUCCAACUAGACAGUAGCAGCCUGAAGUCACGCUUUAGCUCAUCGGACCUGAUCUGAAUCUGGAAGGUUGUCUAAGUCGGCCACUACAGCCCCCAGGUUGGCCUGGGGUGUAGCGAGGACAUUGUUCCCGGCCUGAUUGAGGCCGGCUAGCAGAUUGCGGGCUCGCGCAUGAUGACUACGUCAUUCCCGACCACCGCCUUGGUCAUCGUUGUCAUGCUCAUGGCGCAGCUGCUGGCACUGGUCGCCUGCUACGUUAGCGAUUGCUGCAGGUUGCUAUUGGACGCCGGCUUGCUCUUGUUGAUGUCGUUCUGCACGAUUUCGGUUUCUGGCAUUACGGCCUUCUUCUUGAGAUUCCGUUUCACAAUCAUAAGGUGGUUCGUCAAUGGAGACAAUGAAGGCUUGACGAUAUGGUGUAGAUGAGUUGCUUUCGUCGUCGCUUCCAUAAGGGUUGGGUGUGAGAACGAUGCGGGGCACCUGGAAUUCACCACAAUCCGAAGACUGGGCAUUUUCGAGAGGGUUUUCAGAUCGGAUCUGAAAAACUUGGCCAAGCCUGGUGGAGUACUCGGAAGCCUAGUUCCGCAGUCCGAGCGGAGCGUCGAUGAUCCGGUCUGGAACCCUCUCCGAGAGCGAGAGCUUGUCGACUUGCUGCACAAGCGGCGUGAUGACCCUUGGAUGAAGAACCUAUUUCGCUAGAACUGAUUCGACGGAAGCUGAGUUGACAAGAGUUGCCAAGUCAACGGAAGUAGCCGAGUCGGUGGAAGUCGCCGGCUAAGCGAGCGUCGCCGAGUUGGCAGAAACCAUCGAGUUGAUGGAGAAAGUGGUCGGGAUUGAAUCCGCCAGCAUGGUCCCGAACUGGAUCUGGACCGGGUUGUCGAGGAAGUCCUUCAUGGAAAAACAACGUCGGGACGGCGGGAUGCCAUUGAGAUCACAAAAAGCAGAUCUCGCAACCCCCUCUACCUAGCGUGCCAUCUAUCGGAGUUAUGAGCCCGGCAAUCCGCCUGGGGUUACCCAAGUGGUUAAUUUAUAGGCGAGGGCGGUCACGAAACCAAGAACUUGUGGUGAUCACGAGAACACGAAGGGGACACGAGGGUUUUAAACAGGUUCGAGCCUCGAAAGAGUAAUACCCUACAUCCUAUGUGUUGGUGGAUUGUAUUGCUCAAUGAUUCGAUGCCUCAAGAGGGCGCUCUUGACCACCUUAUAUAGUCCGGCGACCAAGAAUUACAAAUCGGUUUAUACCUAAUCUACUCGGUCUUUACAUGGAAGGUAUUCUAAGUCGGAUUACAAUACGCGUCCCACAAUAUCCGGGUAGAUUUAGACAGUCUAGUUGCCUUGUCGUGCACUCCAAGUAACUUCAUGUCCUUGGCUCGCACGCCCUGGUCGGGCAGGCCUAGUUGUCAGGUUCGACCAGCAUCCUGAUCGGUGGGACCUAUGGGGUACCCAUAUCCCUCAGUUGUACAUCUUGUGAAGCGGUAGUUUCACACAAGGCUUCUUCCAUGAGCUUAAGUGAUGGUCGCAAUUCAGAAUCUCCAAGUCUCUGCCCCUGUAAACACGCCAAUCAAGUAAGGGUAAGAUACAGACGUACACUAGCAAUGGAUCAUGACAGUAAGUUAAGGAAGCGACUUGUUACAACUUGUGAGACUUUCCAUAGUUGCUGUCGGUAUCGUUCAGCACCACUAGUACAUAAUAGUGACCUGGGAAGUGGAGCUCCAACUAUCAAAGGCUUCCAUUUCGGAAAGAAAAAAGACUUCCAAGUCAAGUAAAGCGGCUAUGAACCGAGGAAGGUGGAGCUGACGCACAAAUCAAGUUGAGAACUGGAUAAACAGUAAAAAGAAAGUAGAGUAAAUUUCACAAAACAUACCUGAAGUUUAUAGUUUCUUAUACCAGAAAAACUCAAGUUUUCUGAAAUUCACCUUUUAAGAAAUGAAAAAAGAAAACGAUGAGCGCUGCUUUAUCUUUCAGCAUGCAAAAACCGGUAGCAGGUUAGGACAUAAAUCCGGCACGCAUCACCGAUGCUAGAGGAUGCAGAACAAACAUUUAACGGUUUUCCUAAGUUGCAACAACGAUUAAAUUUAUCUUGUCCAUGACGCAAUAUAACAGCACGAGCAUCCCAGGUUACAACAUUCGAAGCAUAACAGAGCCAAUAUCUAAACAUUCAACAUUCACUUAACACCAACCAUUUUGACUACAGCGCAACCAGGUUGCAGUCUUGAACAACCAUAACACUAACCAGUUCAGAACCAAAUUAUCAGUCCCGCAUUUUCACUGGUAGCAGAGCAGCUGCACUUGCUUCAGUUUUUGGAGCUGCCAUGAUCCACUUCGUCCCAUCGCCAGAUGGUGCCAUCCUCAC
rnacentral:lncRNA from 1 species